rnacentral:rRNA from 1 species
GCUAAACGCGAAGAACCUUACCAAGGCUUGACAUGGAUUUCUAAGCACGUGAAAGCGUGUGACCCUUCGGGGGACUUCCACAGGUGCUGCAUGGCCGUCGUCAGCUCGUGUCGUGAGAUGUUGGGUUAAGUCCCGCAACGAGCGCAACCCCUGUGAACUGUUGCCAGCACGUUAUGGUGGGGACGUCUGUUCAGACUGCCCAGAUCAACUGGGAGGAAGGUGGGGACGACGUCAGGUCAGUAUGGCCCUUACGCCUUGGGCUGCACACGUACUACAAUGGCCGGUACAGAGGGAGGCGAAGGCGCGAGCCGGAGCGGAUCCUGAAAAGCCGGUCCCAGUUCGGAUCGCAGGCUGCAACCCGCCUGCGUGAAGUCGGAAUCGCUAGUAAUCUCAGGUCAGCAUACUGAGGUGAAUACGUUCCCGGGUC